rnacentral:rRNA from 1 species
GACGAACGCUGGCGGCGUGCUUAACACAUGCAAGUCGAACGAAGUGGCGAACGGGUGAGUAACGCGUAAUCAACCUGCCCUUCAGAGGGGGACAACAGUUGGAAACGACUGCUAAUACCGAAUACUGAAGGGGGGGAGUGCGUGUGAUUAGCUAGUUGGGGGGGUAACGGCCCACCAAGGCGAUGGUACGUAGCCGGUUUGAGAGGAUGAACGGCCCAAUUGGGACUGAGACACGGCCCAGACGCCUACGGGAGGGAGCAGUGGGGAAUCUUCCGCAAUGGACGAAAGUCUGACGGAGCAACGCCGCGGGAGUGAUGACGGCCUUCGGGUUGUAAAGGUCUGUUAAUCGGGACGCGGUACCUGAAUAGAAAGCCACGGCUAACUACGUGCCAGCAGCCGCGGUAAUAC